AGUGAACGCUGGCGGUAGGCCUAACACAUGCAAGUCGAACGGCAGCACAGUAAGAGCUUGCUCUUACGGGUGGCGAGUGGCGGACGGGUGAGGAAUACAUCGGAAUCUACUUUUUCGUGGGGGAUAACGUAGGGAAACUGACGCUACUACCGCAUACGACCUACGGGUGAGAUCAGUGGAUCUUCGUACCUUGCGCGAUUGAAUGAGCCGAUGUCGGAUUAGCUUGUUGGCUGGGUAAAGGCCCACCAAGGCGACGAUCCGUAGCUGGCCUGAGAGGAUGAUCGGCCACACUGGAACUGAGACACGGUCCAGACUCCUACGGGAGGCAGCAGUGGGGAAUAUUGGACAAUGGGCGAAAGCCUGAUCCAGCAAUACCGCGUGAGUGAAGAAGGCCUUCGGGUUGUAAAGCCCUUUUGUUGGGAAAGAAAAGCAGCAGGUUAAUACCCCGCUGUUCUGACGGUACCCAAAGAAUAAGCACCGGCUAACUUCGUG
rnacentral:rRNA from 1 species